rnacentral:rRNA from 1 species
CGGGUGAGUAACACGUAUCCAACCUGCCGUCUACUCUUGGACAGCCUUCUGAAAGGAAGAUUAAUACAAGAUGGCAUCAUGAGUCCGCAUGUUCACAUGAUUAAAGGUGUUCCGGUAGACGAUGGGGAUGCGUUCCAUUAGAUAGUAGGCGGGGUAACGGCCCACCUAGUCUUCGAUGGAUAGGGGUUCUGAGAGGAAGGUCCCCCACAUUGGAACUGAGACACGGUCCAA